AUGUACACACUCCAUACACCACACACACCACAGAUACACACACGCACACAUGUACACACUCCAUACACCACAGACCACACAUACUUGCGCAUGCACACAUAUACACACUCUAUAAACCACACAUACACAAGCACACAUGUACACACUCCAUACACCACACACACUACACAUACACACCACACAUACACGCACAUGCACACAGGUACACGCUCCAUAAACCCCACAUACACCACAUACACACAUGCACACAUGUACACACUCCAUACACCACACACACCACACAUACACACGUGCACACAUGUACACACCCCAUACACCACACACACCACACACCAUUGGCCACAUACACACACACAUGCACACAUGUACACACUGUAUACACCACACAUACACGUGUACACAUGUACACACGCCAUACACCACACACACACAAACACCUGCACACACGUACACACUACACACACCACACACGUACACACACGUGCACACAUGUACACAUUCCAUACACCACACAUAUAUACACACGCACAUGCACACACAUACACACUCCAUACACCACACACAUACAUGCACCUGCACACACGUACAUUACUCCAUACACCACACACAUACACACACGUGCACACAUGUGCACACUCCAUAGACCACACACAUACACACAUGCACAUGCACACAUGUACACACUCCAUACACCGCACAUACACACACACAUGCACACAUGUACACACUCCAUGCAUCACACAAACACACACGUGCACACAUGUACACACUCCAUACACCACACACGCACCUGCACACAUGUACACACUCCAUACACCACACACACCACACAUACACACACGCACGUGCACACAUGUACACACUCCAUACACCACACAUACACAUGCACGUGCACACAUGUACACACUCCAUACACCCACACACGCUGCAUACACUGAGAAAAGACAGGGCGUCCUUGAGCCGGUGUCUUCCCCUCUGGCCCCGUGUGGAGACCACAUGAGCCUCACACCAGGUAUUGUAGGGGACAGGCUCUGGGGGCCCCGCAGCUGGAGAGCCCUGGACAUCCCUACAGAAGCAGGCACCUGCACGGUGGCCGCCCCACCUCCUUCCCCGCCACAGCUAGCAGCCAGCACCCCCCCUUCCCGCCCCGCAGCAGCAGCACAUGGAAAGUUGGAGGCGGCAGGCCACUCCGAGCAGGGCGGCGGCGAGGGCCCUGCCAAGCACGAAGGGUCACACUGGCAGGCUCCUCGCUGCAGCGAUUUACGAAGGCCGUCCGGAGCCUGGCCAAGUCUGUAA
ensembl:lncRNA